UCCGGUUGAUCCCGCCGGACCCCACUGCUAUUGCGAUAAGACUAAGCCAUGCGAGUCGUGCGCUUCCAAGCUAUGAUGGGAGCGCGGCGUACGGCUCCAUAACACGUAGUUAACCUACCCUUGGGACGGGAAUAACUCCGGGAAACUGGAGCUAAUACCCGAUAGGCGGAAGCGCCUGGAAUGGUCUUGCACUGAAAGGGCGUCUUGAUCAUGCUUCUCGACGUUGCCCAAGGACGGGACUGCGGCCGAUCAGGUUGUUGGUAGGGUAACGGCCUACCAAGCCUAUAACCGGUACGGGCCCUGAGAGGGGGAGCCCGGAGAUGGGAACUGAUACAAGGUCCCAGGCCCUACGGGGCGCAGCAGGCGCGAAAACUCCACAAUGCGCGAAAGCGUGAUGGGGUUAUCCCGAGUGCCGUCCGAUGAGGAUGGCUUUUACCCGGUGUAAGGAGCCGGGAGAAUAAGAGGGGGGCAAGACUGGUGUCAGCCGCCGCGGUAAUACCAGCUCCUCGAGUGGUGGGGAUGAUUAUUUGGCCUAAAGCGUUCGUAGCCGGCUUAAUAAGUCCCUCGUGAAAUCCGACGACUUAAUCGUCGGGCGUGCGAAGGAUACUGUUAGGCUAGGGGACGGGAGAAGUCGACGGUAGUCCCGGGGUAGGGGUGAAAUCUUAUAAUCCCGGGAGGACCACCAGUGGCGAAGGCGGUCGACUAGAACGUGCCCGACGGUGAUGGACGAAAGCUGGGGGAGCGAACCGGAUUAGAUACCCGGGUAGUCCCAGCCGUAAACGAUGCAGGCUAGGUGUUGGAACAGCCACGAGCUGCUCCAGUGCCGCAGGGAAGCUCUUAAGCCUGCCGCCUGGGAAGUACGGCCGCAAGGCUGAAACUUAAAGGAAUUGGCGGGGGAGCACCACAAGGGGUGAA
rnacentral:rRNA from 1 species